GAGCCAACAGCCAGCGAGAGGAAGAGCUUGAGCGGAGAGAGGGAAUCGCUCCCCGAGGAGGUGAACCUGGCGUGUGGAAUUGAUGAAGGCACUUGAAGAUGCUGGGGGGCAGGGCAUCAUAGCAACAGAGAAUGAGCUAUGAUGGUGGCUUUGACUCUGAGAAAGCAGGAUUCCAGAUAAAGAAAAAAGGAGA